rnacentral:rRNA from 1 species
UCAAGAGUACGUGAAACCGCUUAGGGGUUAAGCCCGAUGAACCCGAAUAUCUGAAAUGAGAAAUUCAAUAUUAUUUAUUUACCUAUUUAAUACAUAGGUAAACGAUGGUAUGCACUUUUCUCAUAGUAAGACAUUGCGAUCCAUUAGUAUAUCUUUAUAAGAUUGUUUAUCAAAUGGCCUGUAUAGUCAGUUUAUUCUAUCUGUAAUGCUUCGGUAUUAUAUGAAUAAUGCUAUUGCGGUGACCUGAUAAACAACUGAUGGAACUAAAAAAUCAUGCUACCAUGCAAAUGUAUCACGGUCUAUAUAAAUUUAUUUAUGUGGAUGCAGUGAUCGCAUGUAUUUGAUUAGCAAUGCGAUAGAUUUGGGAUACCUUCGGGACCCGUCUUGAAACACGGACCAAGAAGUCUAACAUGUGUGUAAGUCAUUGGGUAUUUUGAUGAAACCUAAAGGCGAAAUUAAAAUAACUAUUUUAAUGGGAUUACAAGUGAUUUUAUAUGAUUGCUUCUCCAUCCCGGGGCGUUCUAUAUAAAACAUGGUUUAAGCAAUUAGACCCUCUGUUUUAGAGCGUACCUUGAACAUACAUGCUGUGACCCGAAAGA